UACCCGGAAGCAAUACACAGUAGUGCAGAGUUUUCUGGUUUCCCUUUAAAGAUUAGGGACAGCCAUUUGACUCUUGCGUUAGUUUGAACAAGUCUCCAGUCCUUGCCUCCAGAACUGAAACCUUAUGUAGUUCUUCCUAUUUGAUGGAGACAGUAAUUUUUAAUCAUUUCUUCCCAAGAGGACCAGGUGCCUUGGGAGAACAAAAAGAAAGUGAGACACAUACUUUCUUUGCCUUCGGGAUCAAGAUCUGGUUGGGAAGAAAAGACAAACAUAUGAUUUGGAAACAAAUGGAGAGCGAAUGCUAAAUUUUGUGGAACCUAUACUCCAGUUCAGAAAAGUGGAACAGAAAGCAAGCUGGAAUAGCCAAGAAAGUCUGUAAAAUAAAGCCAGUUUUGAAAAACUA